rnacentral:rRNA from 1 species
CGACCUGAGCUCAGGCAAGAUUAC